AAAUUAUACACGACAAAAGUGUAAAAAGUCAAGAUCGAGAGGUCAUAGAAUGUAACGGCGGAUGGAAGUUUUAUCAGCCUCUGUUUAAAAAGUCAAAGUGACAACAAAUACUGUUACGGUUAGUGUAGUGUUACAAGUGUUAGUUUAUUAGUGUAUAUUAUCCUGAAAGAAUCAAUACAGUGUAAAAAGGGUGACAUUAUUACAAUGCUCUCGUAGAGUUAUGGAGUCGGAUAGAAAGCUGACGUUGCCCCCUGCCGUCUGUGGGAACAUAAACGGUACGCUAAAAAUAAGGGUCGACGAAAUUUAUUGGGCGGAUCGUCGUCCGAAAGACAGCUAUUUCGUCAGGUUGAAGUGGUGGGGCAGCCAGAACCAUCACAUUUUCUACCCGGAAGACGUGUCGAAAAAUUUCAGGACAGACAACUACCAAGAAGGAGUGAACGACGUCGUGUUCAACGUGUGCACAUCGGCCGGCCUGUUCGAGGCAUAUUUGAAGAAAUGCCACCGGUUGAAAUUCCACCUCUUGACGGACAAGGGCCUCCUCCUGGGGACGGCCGUCGUCGGCGACAUGGACCGCAUUCUCGCCCUGGAGCCGUAUCCGUCUUACUACCCGGUUGUGGACAAGACGGGUAAGCGGAUCGCAGACCUGCACAUCUAUUUCGAGCUGUCCUUCCUGGACGAGAGGGAGCCGGAUUCCGAGGACGAACUGGAGUGCGUUUCGGAUGAGAAUCUGAAGCAAAACUUCAAGCUCCGGAAAGAGACGGUCAGAAGGCUCAAACAGGGCGAUGAGAUCAUCAAUUCAGUUGUUGUAAAAGGGCAGGAGUUGAGGAAGGCGAUGGUCAAUUCUGUCCUCGCUCCUUGUGACAUGGAAACAGUUGAACAAGUCAUCGACUUCAAAAAUGCCCUUACUCUCUGUGACGUUUCAAGGACGAAAAGUGAAGAUGCUAAACUUAUGGAUUAUCUAAUGGGUAAAGAAAUGACAAAGGAGGAAGAAGAAGAGGCCAUUAAACUGUUACAUUGCAAAUCCCCUGUAUUUGGUAGAUCUUUACAAGAAAGAUCCUCUACAGUAUAUACCAGAGAUUUUAAAACUUGUGAUGUUGAAGAUGAUGAAGUAUUGGCCUGUGGUGCUUAUUCAAAGAUUAAACAUAAAAACCCAUUAUCCGCAUCUGUCAUUGCACUGAUCAAAACAAAUGCUCUUAUAAGUAUUAACUCUUACAGAGUGGGCUUAUCAAAUCUAAUUUUGACAUCUAAUGGAUUAAGAAAAAUUUUCAAUACGCCAGAUUACAUUGCUACCCAUCUGACUGGCAAGGUACCAUCAGAAACUCAGUUUAUAUUUGAAUACCAUCCUGUUAUGAAUUUGGGUAAAUCAUGGCACCGUCCAUAUGUAUUGAUCUCUAAGUCUUUUGAGGGCAAUGUUGUUAAGUUCAAUGAGUAUGCAAUUUCAAAGCUUAAACCUGGACCAAACCCUUGGGAAAGAAUUGAAUCAUUAAUUGCAGGAUCCCAGAUUAAAGUAUAUUGGAAACAUUCUAACCAAAAAAUGCCUUCUUUGCUUGGAACCACAUCAUAUCCCAGCGCUUUGCAUGCAGAAAAUUUCAGCAAAAAGAUUGUAAUCCCUUUGUACACUCGCUACAAGUUACAUGUUGGGAACUUACAAUUGAGAAUCGAGCUUGGAUUAGGAAUGAUCUACGGGGAUGCUAUUGACAAAUACCGAAAAGACAUUUAUUCUAAAGCACACAAAGGUUUCAACACAAAGGAAACUUAUAAAGAUUUAUGUUCUAAUAAGACUGAUCUACAAGGCGAUGCUGAAGAAGUGCUUGAAGAGGCAAAAAUUACAUUUUGUCCCAUGUCUGAAGAUGAAGAAGAAAAGAACAAACAGUUAAUGGUUCUUUCAAAACAGGCAGUCAGUUACAUGGAAAAGACGGAGCAAAAGAAUACCAAAGUUCCUUUAAGGGAUGCAAUAGCUAGCCUUGCUGGGAAACUCCAAGAAAAUCUUAUGGCAAAAAAAUUUUUUCAAACAAACGACAAUUUGAGUCAGCCUGAUAAACAUGAAGAUUUUUGUCAAGAUCCUUCAGUUACUAAAAACAUGGAUGAAAAUGAUAGGAAUAUGGCAGAUGAUUUAUCAAGAAUGACAAAUAAAACAGAAAGCAGUGAUAAUGAUAACAGCAAUGAACUCUUAGAAUCACUUUCAAAUAUUAAUCCUGGUUGUUGUGAAUAUUGUUGCUGCACACAGAAAUACUGCCAAGCAAACAACAAGGGUGGUAAGUCAAUUCAGAUUAAAAAGCAGUGGGAAACAAGGUCAAAAACAUGCAGUUGUGGUAACAGACAGGCAUUGCUCAAGGAGAGCGACUGUAAACAGAACUUGUGCAAUGAACCAGUUUUAAAAAGAAAACCAAGAGUACAAGCAACAAAAUGUAGACAAGAGGUUGAAGGAAUUUCAAAACUACCAGAAUGUGGGUUUACUAAGUGCAAGAGUAGCCAAAGUUUCUCUAGACAAAACGACUCCCAGAUGAUGGUUGAAACAGCAGAAUCAUUACCUGCAUUCGGCACAAGUACAUCCAGAGAAAAGCCUAUAAUAACAUCACACAUGUACAAAAUUGAUGUAUACUCAUGUGAUGCACACUUUUUCUAUCAGAAAGGAGAACUUGAGUUUUAUCUCACCUAUGAUUUUCCAGUUAUAAAUAAAAAAACAGGGAAAGUUAAAUUUCCUCAAAAACCGACUUGCAUUGAACUCGAUGGCGAGCCUUAUCCACAAGAGCACUGCCUUUUUACCAUAACGUCACUUACUGAUCAAUUGAUUUCCUUGCCCCGGGACCACAUUACAUUUCAAAUUUGGGCUCGUUGUUUUAAGAAACAGCAAGAGCAUUUAGUAGCUCAGGCUAGAUUUCCUCUUAAAAAAUUAGUUGAAUGGGAAGCUUCAUACAUUUUUGCCCACAGCAAUUCUUUUAACCCAAAGUUAAAAGAGACAUCAGAUAAAUACUUUACCCCUCUUCGACUUUUUCAAGAGCCUUCCAAUUUAUCUAUUGGUUUUGACAUCUGGAACCUAAAAAAUUUAACAUUGGAAUUUGAUUACGAAAGGUUUUGUGGGAGUUGGCCUGAACUGCUCUCUUUGAAGGGAUUCGACCAAGAGUUAUAUAAUGAAAAUUCAAAUCCAGGGAGAUUUUUCUUCAAUUCAGAGAUUUCAGAGCUACAAUUAGGCGAAAGAGAUGAAUCAAAUUUAAAGCUGCCAGCUGGCAAGCAAGAUAUUGGAAAUGACACUGAAAAUCAAUUGCGAUUUGUUGAAAAAGAAAGAGCAUACAUAAGCCCUCAAUUGACAGAAGAAAAAUAUAGGAAAAAUGACUGGAGGAAUGAAUUUCGAGAACCUGUCAUUACAAGUGAUCCAGUUACUGGUGGACCCAAAAGUGAAAGAUUUUUAUUUGAAAAAGAUCAAAAGCAAUUACAGGAUGAUUACUGUUCACAAAAACCACUUCCACAUCAUUCUUUGUCUAAAGAUGAAGAUCAUUGGGCAUCUAAAUCUUUAGAAGAAAAACAUUUUUUUGAAGAAGAAACCAAUAAAAUUUCUGAUUUUAAACCUGCAUCAAUACCACCUAGUUUUCUUGGGGAUUCUACCCUCAGUUCGUUGCCUCCAGAUGUUGUAUUUGUAGAUAUUAUGUCAGAGAAGUUAUCAGAGGGAAACAAUCCUUUUGAAUCUCCUAAAAAACUUAAAGACAAAAAACAUUGGAAAUACAUAGAGUCAACUGAUUUGGAUUUUAUUUCAACGGUGGAUCAGACUGUAGAAAAUCCAAAUGUUUACCCAAACUAUGCAAAUAGAAAGACAGAUAAAAAUGCUGAAAAUCUUAUCCCUGUUAAGCAUAAAAGUGAUAUUCAUUUUUACAAGAAUCAUGAUAGUCACUUCUUAGAUCAACCAAGAAACUUAAUCAAGAAGCAAGAAAAACAUCCUCAUAUUUUGUCAAACAAAGAAGAAGACAAAAAUGUCAUUGGCCAAGAAAAUAUUAAAGAUCUAAAUGAGUGGUUAGGUGUCCAAGAUGUGUUGGAUGAUCCGUCAGAGUCUAUGUGCAAUAAAAAAUGUAUAAUAUUAAAAUCCAAAGCAUCAGAUAAAAGGAAUCAUCUUUUCAACCCUACUGCUGUAGGGCAAAUAGAAAAAAUGUCUGAAUGGGAAGAAAGUAGAUUAAUGGAAGAGAAAGAACAUGUCUACAAAGAGUACCAUUUUUUGCAUAAAAAAUACAACAAUCCAGAAGAAUUUUGGAAGAAAGAGUCUUUGUCUUCAAUGAAUGAGUUAGAUGAUGUGUAUGAUGAAAGAGAAAAAAACGAAAUAUUGAAUUUUCAACUUUUGGAGAGUCAAAGAAUAUCUAGUUCAAAUGAUAUUCCAAGUACAUCUAGUGCCUGUAAGCAUGUUAAGGGUCAACUUUCCGAUUGCAGAAACAAUAUAUUUGUCAAAGAAAAAUUAAAAAGUGCUUCAUAUUAUACUGAUCAAAAUCAAGAAAUGGUCAAUGACCACAAUUUGACUUGUGAUCCCACAAAAAUAAAAGAAUCUGAUGAUUUUAACAAGUAUUUACCUAAGAAAAGAAUGUUCACUAGGCCUAGAGUAUUGCAAUCAGAUGGCAUGUUUGAUGUUAUUAGGCAAGAAGAGUCAGUAGGAUAUUCUCGUGAAAAACAAGAAAGCCACAAAAUGAAAUUGGAAACAGAUCAAUCUGUUAUAUCAAAAUCUGAGUUUGAAAAGAUGGGCCAUCUUUUGGAAAAAUAUGAGGAAGAAGUUGGCAACGUGUUGAAUAUGCUUCAACACAAAAGAAAUGAAAAAGAAGACUUGAGAAUAUAUAAUAUAAAUCAAAUGCAAAAUGACAACACUGUAUGUCAAGAAUACUCAUCCUCGCAAAAUAUUGUGCAAGAUCAUGACGUACAUUGCAUUUCAAUAGAAAAAGCAAAAUUUUUGGAAACAGGUAAAAGCAUUCAACAGAAGUCUGGAUUAUUAAAUGAUACCUGGCCCGGACAUAAGAAAAAAAAAAAUGUAAUUGAUGAAGCUUGUACUCCUUCAACAGGAUAUAUAAUAGAUUCCGGUUUAUCUGAAGAUGUCAUAGAUUUAUCAACACCGCCAAAACAAAUAGUGAACAUAGACACACAAACAACAGACAGUAAUUGGUCCCUUUUACAAAUGGAACCUUUCAAAAUACCCAAAUAUUUUAGCGCCAGAGUUGAUAUUGGAGGUGCUAUUAAUUUACCUUCUGUGAAUUCUCUUUUCAAAACCUCUCAAACUAGUAAUGAUAAGUUAACUUCUUAUGUUACAUUUAAUGCUCGUGUAAAAGGAGAAGAUGUUGUAUUAAAUACCCCUGUUAUAUGUGAUGAUCUAAAUCCUGUAUAUAAUACUGGCUGGAAAGUUGAGCUUCCUUCAGGAAUGCUUUACAAGGCAGAUAAUGAACUCGAAUUUAAUGUAGUGUUGCAAAUAACAGACCAGAAACAAAUUUUAAAAGCAACAGUUGAUUUAACGACCCUGUCUGCUGGUCUUGCUUACAUAGAUGGCUGGUACUUCCUUUUUAAUGGUUCCAGAUCACAAGGACAGCUAAAGGUGAAUGUUACACCUUUAGAGGAUAUUGGAACAUUCAGGGAGGUUUGGACUCAGGAAAUUGUUCGAAAAAAAGAAGAGGCGAGGCACUGCCCAACUAGGUGUGGAGCUUUCAGCAAAGAAUUGUUGAAUGAUCAACACUAUGCUAAAUCAUUACAGGAAAAAAUGGAAGAGCUUGAUAGGUUGACAGAAAAAAUGAAGAAAAAAAUAGAAAAUAUUGAUUCUUGGUCUGAUAGCCCACCUAUAAACCUGCUGAAAGAAGUUAAUGCAGCUGCUAAAAGAUUAUGCACAGAUGACGAACUACCACUGAGAACAAAUAAAGAGAAGAAGAAAACAUGCAAAACAUCCUUGCAUCUGAACUUAAGUCCUGCUUCAUCUAGUAAAUCUGAUAGCACUCCGCUUAGAUCUCCAAUUCCACUCAUUGAUCUGACAAGCAGUCCAGAAUCGGAUGGUACGUUAAACAGCAACACUUGGGAAGAGGUGAGUUUCAUUCUUUCUUCAAUUGUGAAAAGGAUUUUUCAAGCUAACGUAGCUUUACUUGAAUAAUAUUUAAUUAUAUGCACAAAAAUUUGUCAGUAAUAUGGUUCUGAGUAUUGCAGAUUCUGAUGGCAGAGUUAAUUUAAGUGAAAGUAGAAAUUCUCCAAGCAAAAAUGUGAUGCAGGUUGAAACCUUGUUUGAGGCAGUACCAAAAGAUAGCCUUGAAGCAGCAUCUAAUUCUAUUGAAAAGAUUAUCCAAGAUCUAAGGAAAGCAAGAUUAAAUGAAUAACACCAGUGUGAUAUUUGUCUUAUUAUGGAGAUUAAGUAUUUUCAUUUUAAGAAUUUGGUUCAAACUUCUAAAAUCUUGUUUUUACAAGCUAUAUAUAUUUAACUAAUUAUUUUUUGAAAAAAUGCAGUUGAAAAAGGCAGUCCAAUGAAACAUGAUUGUUACAAUAUUAUUUUUUUCCAACAAAAAUAUUCUGUUAAUUGUA